CAGUAGCCGCGGUAAUACGGAGGGAGCUAGCGUUGUUCGGAAUUACUGGGCGUAAAGCGCACGUAGGCGGCUUUGUAAGUCAGAGGUGAAAGCCUGGAGCUCAACUCCAGAACUGCCUUUGAGACUGCAUCGCUCGAAUCCGGGAGAGGUGAGUGGAAUUCCGAGUGUAGAGGUGAAAUUCGUAGAUAUUCGGAAGAACACCAGUGGCGAAGGCGGCUCACUGGACCGGUAUUGACGCUGAGGUGCGAAAGCGUGGGGAGCAAACAGGAUUAGAUACCCCGGUAGUCCCUGUCUCUUAUAC
rnacentral:rRNA from 1 species